UACGUAGGGUGCGAGCGUUGUCCGGAAUUACUGGGCGUAAAGAGCUCGUAGGUGGUUUGUCGCGUUGUUCGUGAAAACCGGGGGCUUAACCCUCGGCGUGCGGGCGAUACGGGCAGACUUGAGUACUGCAGGGGAGACUGGAAUUCCUGGUGUAGCGGUGGAAUGCGCAGAUAUCAGGAGGAACACCGGUGGCGAAGGCGGGUCUCUGGGCAUUACCUGACGCUGAGGAGCGAAAGCGUGGGGAGCGAACAGG
rnacentral:rRNA from 1 species